AGUCACUUGGAUGAGUGACAAAACAUUCCUCCCACUGAAAACAGUCCAGAUGAACAGAAUCAACUUUUUGGGAUACUAGUUUCUGUUUCUUUGUUACUCCCGAAUUCAUCAAAGAGGCAAUCUGGCUGUCUGUGUAAAUGCUGAUGCUUUCAAGUGUCAUAGCAACAUUUACUGUAAUUGAAGCAAAUAUCCCGAUUUCGACUCGGAUUUGUUUGAGUACAAUUAUCCAUUUGUGUUAACUGUAAAAGGGAUACUGUAAAGUUACUAUAUUUAAGCUACAACUAGAUGUGCUACAGCCUUAUCAUUUUAUUAUUUCUGUCCUUGCCUGGUUUUAAUUAAUAAUCCAAAGAAAAAAAAACUUCCAAAACACUAACAGGUCAUGAAAAUUCAUUCAGACUUAGCAAUUUGAUGAUUCAUCCACCUUAAUUAUUAAAAAGCAUCAGUAUCGGUAUCAGAAUCUUUGAUACUGGGCCUGUGUUUACAAGGUAUCAGAUGGAUACCAAAUCACAUCACUAGUGUGGGGACAUUCAUGAAUAUCCUAUUGUGCCCCCCUCCCUGCACACACCACAACACCGCAAAAACCACACCUUCCCACACAUUGAUAGCAUUAUUCAGAAAAAUUCUUUAACUUUUAUGCUGAUUUGGAUUUGCAAUAUUUUUAUUGUGUUAGGAAGAGCCAAAUACAACUCAACCACCAAAGGAAUCAGUCAAUACUUCUGGUCAAGAUUUGCCAUCCAUAAGUGAAAAAGGAAAGAGAAACUCAGAUCAUUUUCAGGGUGAGUCCAGCCAAUGGCAACCACCUCCUAAACGACAAUACAACUGUGCAGCAGGAUCACAGUCAGAAAAAGAAAUACUGUUUGAGGUCAAAGAGAUAAUGAGACACGUCAGUGAAGGACUACAUGGCCGUGACAAGCUCAAACUUUUCCUAAAGUGAGUAAUAAAGGUUUCCUUUUUUUUGUUGGACAUUGUUCCAACCAGUUCCAAAAAAGUUAGGACAGUCUGUAAAAUGAAAAUAAAAACAAUAUUCAUGAAAUCUCGUACUCUAAUAUUUUAUUGACAACAGAACACAAAAACAUAUCAAAUUCCUAAGCUGAGAAAAUGCACCAUUUUAAGAAGUAAUUGGGUAAUUUUUUGUUUGAUGUCACUAUGUCUCAGAAAGGUUAGGAAGGCAAAUUAAAAAAAAAAAUCUAGAAAGUAAGUGUUUGCAAAAAGAAACAGUUGGAGGAACAUUUUGCUGUAAUUUGGUAUAAAGAUUUAAACUCUGUCAGAGCUCAACAUGGAGCUGUGAUUCAGUUCAUUCCAUUGUUAAGGUGAAUUGUACCAGAAUCCAUCAUUUCACACUUCAGA